CUAUUAAUUUGUACAAAAAAAACACAUCAGUAAAAGGAGUUGUGGAUGUUUUGCAGAGAUGCUGAAAUGGUCAUAACAGAGCAACGUAAACCUGGCUUCGUGUCCACGGCUUCCUCUAAUGUCACAAUAAGUAGAACAAGGCCUCCCUCUGCUCCAGCAUCUGCCGUCCCUCCAGUUAACGUUGCUCCGUUCAGACCUGCACAAUUAAUGGAUGUUUCACCCCAGACCCCUCAGUCCAACAUGGGUGUUAAACAUGGGAAUCACCCGCCUGUAAAAUCCCCACCCAGACGGCCAGCUGUGGAAUCUAUUAGCUCUUCAACCACUGCUCCAGCCAAUCACGGAAAUCCGUCAGGUGCUAAAAAGGGAAAGUAUUUGUCACCCACCAACGCCUCCAAGACUGAAAUGAGGUCACCCUCUGUGAAGUCUUAUCAUAUCCCAGUGCUGCAGAUUGAGAGGGAACUGAAUGAUAUUGAGACAAACUUGGCUCAGCUGGAGAGGGAGGGUGUGGAGCUGGAAAAGAAACUCCGCAGCUGUGAACAAGGUAUUUUUCCUCUUACAACCCACCCUUUCUUGUGGGUAUUUUUAGCCACUAGAAUUCAGUGUUGGCAUGUUAAAAAACAGUA
rnacentral:lncRNA from 1 species